GGGGAAUCUUCCGCAAUGGGCGAAAGCCUGACGGAGCAACGCCGCGUGAGUGAAGACGGCCUUCGGGUUGUAAAGCUCUGUUAUACGGGACGAAUAGUCUUGUGGUUAAUACCCAUGAGAAGUGACGGUACCGUAAGAGAAAGCCACGGCUAACUACGUGCCAGCAGCCGCGGUAAUACGUAGGUGGCAAGCGUUGUCCGGAAUUAUUGGGCGUAAAGGGCGCGCAGGCGGCUUCUUAAGUCUGUCUUAAAAGUGCGGGGCUUAACCCCGUGAUGGGAUGGAAACUGGGAAGCUCAGAGUAUCGGAGAGGAAAGCGGAGUUCCUAGUGUAGCGGUGAAAUGCGUAGAUAUUAGGAGGAACACCAGUGGCGAAAGCGGCUUUCUGGACGAAAACUGACGCUGAGGCGCGAAAGCCAGGGGAGCGAACGGGAUUAGAUACCCCGGUAGUCCUGGCCGUAAACGAUGGGUACUAGGUGUAGGAGGUAUCGACCCCUUCUGUGCCGGAGUUAACGCAAUAAGUACCCCGCCUGGGGAGUACGGCCGCAAGGUUG
rnacentral:rRNA from 1 species